ACAAUUUGGUAUUUGGUUAUGGUCAUCGUGAUAUUAUUACAGAGUAAAUGGUGGUAGAGAAUAUCUAUAAAGGGAAAAGAAGUUGACGACAUAGAUCCAGGGAGAAAGAAAAUCCUGCAAAAAGAAAAUAGAGAAAAAGAAAACUAGGGAGAAGAUGAGAGAGAAAAUGAUAAAAAGGAUAUUCAAGUAAUUCUAUAUACAUUUCCGACAAGAUACUGUUGUCCAUAGUUAGUUACUCAAUUAUUUUCGGUUUCAUAGUCAUCUAGUGCAUAUACCCAAAGUAAAUUACCGUUAUUUCUCUAAUUAAAAAAAAACGGUCAUUAAGUUAAUGUUAACUUAGACAAAAAGUUGCUAACUUAAAAGUUCAAAAAAAAAUUAAUAUAUUCAAAAGUCGUUAAUUUAGUGAUCGUUCCCUCGAUGGUACAAGUAGAAAGCAAACUAACCGUUAUUUCUCUAACUAGAAAAAGGGUAAUCAAAUCAAUG
rnacentral:sRNA from 1 species